UCCAAGGCAUACUUUUCAAACUUGGGGAGUAGUUUGGCAUCUUACCCCCGUGCCUGCUUUUUCGGAAAGGUCGUUUUGCCGAAGGUCUAUUGUACCUACUUCCUCCUAGCAGAGAGUAAACACAGACCCAGCUGUCCUCCGAGGUGUCUCCUGAGAAUGUAACCCCUUCCUGCCGACCUGGUGCUGCAGCCUGGCAGAAACGAAGUCUGUGUUACUGAGCAUGCGUCACAUCCGGGCUCCCAGCUGAAGCGACAGCGUCAUCCAUGGGGGCUGCCUUACCUGGAUCCCACCACGUCGCCUCCCCCUUUCACACACAGUCUCCAGCAGUUCUUCAGCUUUCCUGGGCCCCAGAAGGAGAAGGUCUCCAAAGGCCCAGAGCAGUUAUUUUGCAAAAUGUCCCCGGAUUAGCUUGUGCGACAGUCACCUUCUGAUUUAUUUGAUACAAACGGUCAGCGUGUCCGCCUCCUGGUCCCACAUCCGGGGCACUUGAUGUCACGUGGGCCUUAGUUGCUUAGCUGUCUUUUAAAACAAUGCACAGUUACUUCCACAUGAGCAGCAGGGAUCUGGACACCGGAGUCACCCUGAGUUAAAUCAACCUUAAAGGCAGAAAGACUGACUCAUUUUUCCUGUGCAUCCAGACAGACCCUGCAGGGCCUGGGGCACAAUGGACAGGCUCACUUGCCUCGCAUCUUUGCGUGAAUCUACAAACAACUAAAGAAGUCAGCCAGCACAAUUGGACCUGGAAGAAAUGUUUGCUGUGGGACCAAGAUGGAUGUGGAGUGGAGAAAAGGAUUCCCAUCACAAGGAAAUGAGAGUGUUUCACCUAAGUCUCAUCCUCAAACAACUCACUGGGACCUGGCGAUAAGCAUCACCAGCACCUGCUACUGCCCAUGAAAAAAUACACUACCUUUUCCUGAGAAGCUGAGAUUUGAAGGCACGGCUCUAUAAGCUGUGCUGCUUGUCUCUGACUGGAUCAGUCCCUGAAUUCAGAGAAAAAAUAGACAACAUCUUGAAGAACUGCUCUGGGUGUGAGUCAGACUUCACCCUCUUUGAGCAAUGUUUGUUGAAAUGAGGAACUGCUGAACUGAACCUGCAUUGGGGCUGGUUAUUUAGCUGUGUCCCUGUCACAUCGAUCCUGGGUUGUCUUUCUAAAUCCAGCUAUUGUCAAGACAAUUCACAUCCCUGACUGCAGACAGCAGCAGCUCCCUGGUUUAAAAGUAGGCCUCCCUCAGAGAUGCCAAACUGAGUUUGUAUCCAGGCUUUUUAGAGUUGUUAUCCUGACAAUCCCCCUGCUACAAUCCUUUUUCUUCCUUAGUCUUCCCCACUGGGCACCCUAAAACCUCACCAGGUGGUCCUUUGCAAAAAGCUUGACAUCCCUUUCUUCUGAUCUCCCACCAGUUAGAGAAAGGAUAUGUAAAUUUCAGGAUAGCCAGUUUUAACCCUGUUUACUGCUAAUCCUGACCAGAACAGACAAAAACUGCAACAAAAAAACUUGGCUAAGUAAAAGAAGUAACUGAGCAGCUUUUUAAAAAGCUAUUUAAAAUAUCCCAGAGCCACUGGACAAUUUUUAAAUUCCACUUAAGAUGUUAACUAACCUAGAGCCUGCACAAAAGCUCAAAGAUGUUAUCGAAGACUCAGCUUUUUUCUGCCUUGUUCCAGGAUCCUUGAGAUACUUGCUUUUUGUCCUCCUGUUUCCUCAAUGAGUUUGUCACAGGGAUAUUUUCCUGACUUUUGUUUGGGAACAUCUUUUCCAGAAGUCCCUGAUUUCUUUUCACUACCCAUGAGAAGUUCUGGCUCACAGGGGAGCCUGGGAGAGCCUGGGAGAGAGAAGGGGGUUGGCAUCCCUCCGGAGAGUGGGUGGCCUCUAUCUCCACCUCCACCUGUAAAUUCAGAAUUCUUUUGGAAAGGGAACAGUGGGGACUCAAAGGCGUGUCCUGGCCACAUGCCUUUUGGAUCUAUAGAAUGCACCCAAGGGACUCAGGUCUGUGCCUCCCUUGGGCCUACCAUCGUGGGAGUUCUGUUCUACCAUUCUUAAAUUUACUGGAUAAACUAUUAAACUCAGUGGAGAUGAGUUAGUUUACCAGUAAACUGUAAUCAAGGACUUUUUUUUUUUCAGACAGGGUCACUCUAAGCAAUUCAAUAUAUAUUUUUUUCUUUAUUAACAUGGGUCUUACUUUGACUUGGUAUUAAACACCUAAAAGGAAAAUAUAACCAAAUACGGGUGUGUGCAUGUGCAUGUUUGUGUAUGUGUUUAUGGAUAGGGAAAAAGGCUCAAAAAGAGUAAUAUAAUAGUAAUAUUAAACAAAUCAAAAUGGGCUGCAAACUACCCCAGUCCCUGCUGGCAGUCUCUCGAAGAGCCUGUGACAGUCUGAUCUGCAGGCCAGUGCCAUCAUGAGCCCUUCCAAAAAUGUGCCCUCCUCCUGUCAGCGUGCUCCUGCCCUGCUAUUUUAGUGAACCCUGCAGGUAAAGAUUUAGCUUCUUAUACAAGUGUGUCUAUAAAAAUAGCUACAAUAUCUACAAAUCAUCUAGCUAUUAAACUUUGUUAUUUGUAUGGUAUAAA